rnacentral:misc_RNA from 1 species
GAAUCCAGCUUCUCUACAAGCCUGAUCUAAUUGCCUAACAACUUGAGCUACACCUUCAUCUUGAGUAAUAUUUGGAUGAUCCCACUUCUCCAAAAGAGGACUCACAUCUAUAAGAGGUAUAAACUUGAAAUCCGUAGCCAUGGUGCUUCCAGUUUUCUGUGUUUCUUCUUCUUAGUUCGCUAGAAUAUGCAGUUUGGAAUCUAUUAAUUCUGUCAGUCACUAGCGUUG